rnacentral:rRNA from 1 species
UACGCCUACGGGAGGCAGCAGUGAGGAAUAUUGGUCAAUGGGCGGGAGCCUGAACCAGCCAAGCCGCGUGAGGGAAGAAGGUACAGCGUAUCGUAAACCUCUUUUGCCAGGGAACAAAGGCGGGGACUAGUCCCCGGAUGAGGGUACCUGAAGAAAAAGCAUCGGCUAACUCCGUGCCAACAGCCGCGGUAAUACGGAGGAUGCGAGCGUUGUCCGGCUUUAUUGGGUUUAAAGGGUGCGCAGGCGGCCUGUUAAGUCAGCGGUAAAAGCCCGGGGCUCAACCCCGGCGAGCCGUUGAAACUGGG